CCUACGGGUGGCAGCAGUAGGGAAUCUUCCUCAAUGGGCGAAACCCUGACGCAGCAACGCCGCGUGGGGGAUGAAGGUUUUCGGAUCGUAAACCUCUUUUGUUAGAGAAGAUCAUGCCGGUAUCUAACGAAUAACCACUUGCCAACUCCGAGCCAGAAGCCGCGGUAAGACGGAGGGCGCAAGCGUUACUUGGAAUCACUGGGCGUAAAGUGCGCGUAGGCGGGUUAGCAAGUAGGAUGUGAAAGCCUAGGGCUUAACCUUAGAGCGGCAUUGGAAACUGGUAUACUAGAGUGUGGUAGAGGAAGGUGGAAUUCUAGGUGUAGGGGUGAAAUCCGUAGAGAUCUAGAGGAAGACUCGUUGCGAAGGCGACCUGCUGGAACAUAACUGACGCUGAUGUGCGAAAGCGUGGGGAGCAAACAGGAUUAGAUACCCCAGUAGUC
rnacentral:rRNA from 1 species